rnacentral:rRNA from 1 species
GAUGAACGCUGGCGGCGUGCCUAAUACAUGCAAGUCGAGCGAACGGACGAGAAGCUUGCUUCUCUGAUGUUAGCGGCGGACGGGUGAGUAACACGUGGAUAACCUACCUAUAAGACUGGGAUAACUUCGGGAAACCGGAGCUAAUACCGGAUAAUCUUUUGAACCGCAUGGUUCAAAAGUGAAAGACGGUCUUGCUGUCACUUAUAGAUGGAUCCGCGCUGCAUUAGCUAGUUGGUAAGGUAACGGCUUACCAAGGCAACGAUGCAUAGCCGACCUGAGAGGGUGAUCGGCCACACUGGAACUGAGACACGGUCCAGACUCCUACGGGAGGCAGCAGUAGGGAAUCUUCCGCAAUGGGCGAAAGCCUGACGGAGCAACGCCGCGGGAGUGAUGAAGGGCUUCGGAUCGUAAAACGCUGUUAGGAGGGAAGAACAUAUGUGUAAGUAACUGUGCACAUCUUGACGGUACCGAAACAGAAAGCCACGGCUAACUACGU